GAUUGGUAAUGGCAAGGUGCUUCUUUCGUUCUCUGAUGGUGAGUAAAUGGUGUUCCUUUUUUGUGAUCCUCUUGUGCUCUCUGUUCUCAUGUCCUUCUGAUGGUGAAUGAAAUCCCCCUUCUUUAGGGAAGUCAACUUUCUUUUCGUCCCUCUGUUCGAGAGUAUUCACCGGAUCCAGAGUCACCUGCCAAAGCCGCCCGCCGAAGCCGUCCCCCUCGUCAAACGCCAUUCCCUUUUGAUGUAUAGUCGCUGGCAGGAAAACAAGAGGCACAGAAGUUUUUUUCCAGAAAACGAAAAAUCGUUGCGUGUAGAAGCGUUCGUUGUGUGUUGCAGUAUGAAAAAUGUCUUAGGAAGGGGUGGAGAUAAUGAAAAGAACGUCUUUCCAAAGAACGAAGUUACGAAGUUGACUAUUACAUUCCUUCUCUUUUUCCCUUUUUCCUUUGUACAUGUUUGUUGUAUUGGAUGAUAAACAAGAUAUUCAAAUUUUUUCUAAUUAUGAAUGUAUGCAGUUCACCGGUUCAACGUGAGAAGAAAUAGGAACCAAAUCCUUUCCUGUUACUUUGGUUAUUAUGGUUUCUUCUUCUCUCUUCUCAAAUGAUCACAACAUGCACAUGUUAUUUAAGAAAAU
rnacentral:lncRNA from 1 species